rnacentral:rRNA from 1 species
UACAGAGGGGGCAAGCGUUGUCCGGAAUUAUUGGGCGUAAAGAGCUCGUAGGCGGUCUGUCGCGUCUGCUGUGAAAACUCAGGGCUUAACCCUGAGCUUGCAGUGGGUACGGGCAGACUAGAGUGCGGUAGGGGAGACUGGAAUUCCUGGUGUAGCGGUGGAAUGCGCAGAUAUCAGGAGGAACACCGAUGGCGAAGGCAGGUCUCUGGGCACUUACUGACGGCUGAGGAGCGAAAGCGUGGGGAGCGAACAGG